UUUAGCUACUUAACAAGUUAUAUCAUUCAUUCAAUUAUAUAACAAACAUCUUAUUAAAAUUAUUAAAUUAAUACGAAACUAAAACCCGGAAAGGUUUUGAUUAUUAUUGAAUGUAGAGUUCGGAUUAACGAAAAUUAAUGAAAUUCGGUUCCGGCAUAAUGAUAGUAGUGGACGGCUGGAUAUUCAGGCAACGCCAAAGCUGGCUCCGACGGCCGACGCGGAGAGCGCGCCCCAUAUCAGACACAUUUCGUUUUGACUUGAAGAUCAAGCAAAUCUCCAAUCCUGGCCGUCCAUUCACAAUGCCUCACUUUUCCACAUCAACUCAAGGAGGCCCAAGUGUACGCACAGAAUUAACCAUCCUAAAU
rnacentral:lncRNA from 1 species